rnacentral:lncRNA from 1 species
UUGAUCUAAAUUGUUCUAAGUUGGGGCCCUUGUGCUUCAUACCUGAACAUCCAAGAUCAAUUCCCUCCUUGCUUGGACCCUUUAUUUAGGAGCCCAGUAAAAGCUAUCUGUACUUGCUUGGUGGUAUACGGCUGGGUUAAAUUGUAUAAAUUUGCUCAGGUAAAUACUUUUAACUUAUUUUCCCUAUACGGGCUUGGGGUACGGUAUAUACAAAUACCGCUUGGUCGGGCAUUGAAUCUUUAAUUAUAUGAAGGUACUAAUCGGAAUAGGCUGGCUACUCCUAGCAUCAACAAAGAGUCUCGCAAGCUUAGAUGCCUAA